rnacentral:pre_miRNA from 1 species
ACAACAACGUUCGGACCGUCGGUCUACCGAGCAAAUACUACCCGCUCGGUGGAAGAUCUUCUCUUUGUCGUUUAAG